UACGGAGGAUGCAAGCGUUAUCCGGAAUGAUUGGGCGUAAAGCGUCCGCAGGUGGCUGUGUAAGUCUGCUGUUAAAGAGUGAGGCUCAACCUCAUAAAGGCAGUGGAAACUACAUGGCUAGAGUGCGUUCGGGGCAGAGGGAAUUCCUGGUGUAGCGGUGAAAUGCGUAGAGAUCAGGAAGAACACCGGUGGCGAAAGCGGUCCGCUGGGCAGUUGCUGACACUGAGGCGCGACAGCGUGGGGAGCAAACAGG
rnacentral:rRNA from 1 species